rnacentral:ncRNA from 1 species
AAAAAAAUUUUUUAUAGUUUGAAAAUUUAUUAUAAAUUUAUUUUACAUAUAAAUUUUAGUGUUAAUUUUUAUUUAUUUUAAUAAUAAAUAAUUUUUUAAAAGUAGUAAUUAAUAUUAAAAAUUUAAGAGAUUAAGAUUUAGUAAUAUAAAAAUUAAUAACAAAUUUUGUGCCAGCAGUUGCGGUUAAACAAAAGUUAAAUUAAAUUUUAUUAGUGAUUAAUAUAUAAAUUAAUAAAAAUUAAUUAAAUAUAAGAUUAUUAGGUGAAAUUUUUAUUUUAUUUAAAUUAAUAAAGAUUUAUUUAUUAUUUAAUAAAUUUAAUAAAUAAACUAGGAUUAGAUACCCUAUUAUAUAAAAAUUUAAAUUAAUAAUACUAAAAUAGUAAGUGAUUAUUUAUUGAAACUUAAAUAAUUUGGCGGUAUUUUAGUUCAUUUAGAGGAAUCUGUUUAUUAAUUGAUAAUCCACGAAUAAAUUUACUUAAUUUAUUAUUUUGUAUAUCGUUGUUAAAAAAAUAUUUUCAAAUAAAUAAUAAUAUUUAGAAAUUUUUAUAAUAAAAUUAAAUCAGAUCAAGAUGCAGAUUAUAAUUAAGAAUAUAAUGGAUUACAAUAAAUUUAUUUAAAUGGAUAUUAAUUUUUAAUAGUUAAUUAAAAGUGGAUUUAAAUGUAAUUUUAUUUAAUUUAAUAAAGUGAUUUAAAAUUGAAAUAUGUACAUAUUGCCCGUCGCUUUCAUAAAUAAGUUGAAAUAAGUCGUAACAAAGUAGAGAUACUGGAAAGUGUUUCUGGAAAUAA